CCUACGGGAGGCAGCAGUGAGGAAUAUUGGUCAAUGGGCGCGAGCCUGAACCAGCCAAGUAGCGUGAAGGAUGACUGCCCUACGGGUUGUAAACUUCUUUUAUAAAGGAAUAAAGUGAGGCACGUGUGCCGUUUUGUAUGUACUUUAUGAAUAAGGAUCGGCUAAUUCCGUGCCAGCAGCCGCGGUAAUACGGAGGAUCCGAGCGUUAUCCGGAUUUAUUGGGUUUAAAGGGAGCGUAGACGGGUUUUUAAGUCAGUUGUGAAAGUCUGUGGCUCAACCAUAGAAUUGCCGUUGAAACUGGGAGGCUUGAGUAGGUUUGAGGCAGGCGGAAUGCGUGGUGUAGCGGUGAAAUGCUUAGAUAUCACGCAGAACCCCGAUUGCGAAGGCAGCCUGCCAAGCCAUGACUGACGCUGAUGCACGAAAGCGUGGGGAUCAAACAGGAUUAGAUACCCCGGUAGUC
rnacentral:rRNA from 1 species